rnacentral:rRNA from 1 species
UAGUACCGUGAGGGAAAGGUGAAAAGAACCCCGGGAGGGGAGUGAAAUAGAACCUGAAACCUUGUGCUUACAAGCACCGAGAGCCCGUCAAAGGGUGAUCGGGUACCUAUUGUAGAAUGGUCCGGCGAGUUAAUGUAACUGGCAAGGUUAAGGACUAAAGGUCCGGAGCCGCAGCGAGAGCGAGUCUGAAUAGGGCGUAUGAAGUCAGUUAUAUUAGACCCGAAACCGGGUGACCUACCCAUGUCCAGGUUGAAGUGGAGGUAAAACUCCAUGGAGGACCGAACCGACUCCCGUUGAAAUGGUAGCGGAUGAGGUGUGGGUAGCGGAGAAAUUCCAAUCGAACCCGGAGAUAGCUGGUUCUCUCCGAAAUAGCUUUAGGGCUAGCCUUGUAUUAGAUUACUGGAGGUAAAGCACUGAAUGGGCUAGGGGCCGAGAGGUUACUGAACCCUAUCAAACUAAGAAUGCCGGAUAAUGAUAGUCGGGAGUCAGACAGUGUGAGAUAAGUUUCAUUGUCGAAAGGGAAACAGCCCAGACCCACAGCUAAGGUCCCAAAGUAUCGUUAAGUGGAAAAGGAUGUGGAACUGCCCAGACAACCAGGAUGUUGGCUCAGAAGCAGCCAUACAUUCAAAGAGUGCGUAAUAGCUCACUGGUCGAGUGGUUCUGCGCCGAAAAUUUAACGGGGCUAAACGAUACACCGAAGCUUGGGAUGCAGCAUUGGCUGCAUGGUAGGAGAGCGUUCUGUACGGGGUGAAGUCAUAGCGGAAGCGGUGGUGGACUGUACAGAAGAGAGAAUGCCGGAAUGAGUAGCGAGAUUUAUGUGAGAAUCAUAAAGGCCGAAAGACUAAGGAUUUAGAAGGAAGGUUCGUCCGCUUCUAGUUAGCCGGGAGCUAAGGCGAGGCCGAAAGGCGUAGUCGAUGCACAUACGGUGGAGAUUCCGUAGCCGCCUCUUAAUUUAAGCAAAGGGACACUUUCAAAGGGAAUGACCCGGGCGUUGGUAGCCCCGGGCGAAAGGGACCGAAAUUAGAGUAGGGAAGCAUUUCUGGAGGAAGGCGAGAAAAGCUUUGCGGAUAGAGAGAGGCGCCCGUACCGCAAACCGACACAGGUAGUCAGGAAGAGGAUUCUAAGGCCAACGGGAGAAGGGUAGUUAAGGAACUCGGCAAAUUGACCCCGUAACUUCGGAAUAAGGGGUGCUCCUGAAAAGGAGCCGCAGUGAAUAGGCCCAGGCGACUGUUUAUCAAAAACACAGCUCUCUGCUAAAUCGAAAGAUGAAGUAUAGGGGGUGACACCUGCCCGGUGCUGGAAGGUUAAGAGGAAGGGUGCAAGCUCUGAAUUGAAGCCCCAGUAAACGGCGGCCGUAACUAUAACGGUCCUAAGGUAGCGAAAUUCCUUGUCGGGUAAGUUCCGACCCGCACGAAUGGUGUAACGAUCUGGGCACUGUCUCAACUACCCACCCGGCGAAAUUGUAGUACCGGUGAAGAUGCCGGUUACCCGCGGCAAGACGGAAAGACCCCAUGGAGCUUUACUGUAGCCUGAUAUUGGGUUUCGGUAUUCUAUGUACAGGAUAGGCGGGAGACUGGGAACCGAUGGCGUCAGCUGUCGGGGAGUCACCCUUGGGAUACCGCUCUUAGAGUACUGGAAUUCUAACCUGCGGCCGUGAAUCCGGCCGGGGGACAUUGUCAGGUGGGCAGUUUGACUGGGGCGGUCGCCUCCAAAAAGGUAACGGAGGCGCUCAAAGGUUCGCUCAGCAUGGAUGGAAACCAUGCCAGAGAGUGUAAACGCAAAAGCGAGCCUAACUGCGAGACUGACGGGUCGAGCAGUAACGAAAGUUGGAGUUAGUGAUCCGGCGGUAUGUGAGUGGAAAUGCCGUCGCUCAACGGAUAAAAGCUACCCUGGGGAUAACAGGCUGAUCUCCCCCAAGAGUCCACAUCGACGGGGAGGUUUGGCACCUCGAUGUCGGCUCAUCGCAUCCUGGGGCUGAAUUCGGUCCCAAGGGUUUGGCUGUUCGCCAAUUAAAGCGGUACGCGAGCUGGGUUCAGAACGUCGUGAGACAGUUCGGUCCCUAUCUGUCGUGGGCGCAGGAUAUUUG